rnacentral:lncRNA from 1 species
CUUGAGUUGGCGGCGCUGAGAGAGGCGAGCGGUGUGGAACCAGCAGAGGGCCAGACAACCAACUAGCCAGCCCAGUUAGCGACGGGACUUAUGCCCGCUAUAUGCACAUAUGUUGUAACGUAUAACCAUAUACCUAUGAGACCAUUUUUGACGCCUCCAAAGGCUCUAUGACCAUGGAAUUAUGCGGAAAUCACGUGAGAUGUAUGCAUUUAUUUACUGACUGCAUUUAAUCGCUCAAGGUUUAGCUGCUUCACUGAUAAGAUGGGAAAUUGAUCAGAUUGUUAACACGUGUAAGAUGUGAUCUUAACGACCGGAAGUAUGACGUGAUUGGAGUAGUCGACGUCACUGAUGCCUAACGGGACAAUUAGAGAGUCUGAAAGGCGUCAUCAUCUGCUGUAGGUUGUAUUGCCAUUCAAAGAGAUGAGGUCGAUGUGUAGGUGUUGUCAUGGUAUACUAUUAUGAAACCACACAAAUAGUGUACUAUGAUAUAAGUGGAAACAUUUGCCAACUCUACUAGUUCUUAACUGUGUGUAUUACACAAGUUAAACCACAAGCAAUAAUUAAACUGCAGUAUUUAUUCAAGAGGGGAAAAGAUAUGGACCGUGGAUAGCGGCUAACACUUGGACUUGUCGGGUUCUGAAAACUUGAAAGGAACGAUGAAUAAUGCAAAUCCCGUCGAAGGUCGCGUGUGCUCCUGAUCUUGAUAUCGAAUGUCUUUACGUGUUGAUAAAACCGAAAGGAAUGUUAUUCUCAAAAGAAUAACAAAAAUUUCUCCAAGACAGCAUUCAGCUCUUCACACAGCAAUUGUAGGAUGAAAGCUAUUAAUCCUAUAAGCAUGAGGGGAAAUGUUUUCAACCAUAAUUGACGAGCUGUGUGCCUUGGUUGUUAUCGCAGCUGUACAACGACGCACUUAUCGUCUUAUCACUAGCUGCUGUCGACUUAUAAUGUAUUCAUGAAGACAUUCUACCUACGUAGGAAAGUCAAUCAUCACAUAUGUCUUAUUCAAUACUUAACUUAUAUAGUUUGCUAAAGGAUAGCGGUUGCACAUACAUGGCUAUCGUUUCACAUGUAGGUCAAGAAAAAAAAUAGAAUUAAUAAUUUUUUAGAUUUAAUUUAUUAAUUUAAACAGUCUUUAUUCCCUUUUAUACAUUAAACUAUGUUAAACUAUUAAAUGUCAAAGACUUGGUAAGAUUUAUAAUACUGUUUUUACUUUAUGAUUUGUCUAAACCAUAUGUUAGAUAUAUAGAAAUUCGAUAAUCUUCAUUUCUACGUAGUAAACCUCUGUAUGAAGUCAAUUCAAUUGCAUUGAAUGUCCCUCCACCAUCAGGCCUUUAAGCUGAGAAUAAUGACUAUAUAAUACAGAAGUAAAGUUAUGUCGACACGCCCUUAGGUCGCAGAUGAAAAAAAUUUAUCGUCAAAAGUUGUAACAGUUUGUCAAGCGUAGUAGUAAAGUGGUAGUACUUGUUUUGAACACAUAUAUGUAUGUGUACAUGCAGUAGAACUAUUCUUGUAUGUAACUUAAUUGUGCUUUACAUCAUAGCGGCCAAGUACCCCGUCAUGAUCUCGUAAUAUUGCGACAAGUGGAGGCUAAAUUAAUCUGUUAUCUCAUUGGAAUUUAUAACAGUCAAGUUCACACUUGAAAGUGAAAAGAAAUUCCGA